rnacentral:rRNA from 1 species
GACGAGCGCUGGCGGCGUGCCUAAUACAUGCAAGUAGAACGCUGAAGAGAGGAGCUUGCUCUUCUUGGAUGAGUUGCGAACGGGUGAGUAACGCGUAGGUAACCUGCCUUGUAGCGGGGGAUAACUAUUGGAAACGAUAGCUAAUACCGCAUAACAAUAGGUGACACAUGUCAUUUAUUUGAAAGGGGCAAUUGCUCCACUACAAGAUGGACCUGCGUUGUAUUAGCUAGUAGGUGAGGUAACGGCUCACCUAGGCGACGAUACAUAGCCGACCUGAGAGGGUGAUCGGCCACACUGGGACUGAGACACGGCCCAGACUCCUACGGGAGGCAGCAGUAGGGAAUCUUCGGCAAUGGGGGCAACCCUGACCGAGCAACGCCGCGUGAGUGAAGAAGGUUUUCGGAUCGUAAAGCUCUGUUGUAAGUCAAGAACGAGUGUGAGAGUGGAAAGUUCACACUGUGACGGUAGCUUACCAGAAAGGGACGGCUAACUACGUG